GACAGAGGUCUCAAGCGUUGUUCGGAUUCAUUGGGCGUAAAGGGUGCGUAGGCGGCGCGGUAAGUCGGGUGUGAAAUCUCGGAGCUUAACUCCGAAACUGCAUUCGAUACUGCCGUGCUUGAGGACUGGAGAGGAGACUGGAAUUUACGGUGUAGCGGUGAAAUGCGUAGAUAUCGUAAGGAAGACCAGUGGCGAAGGCGGGUCUUUGGACAGUUCCUGACGCUGAGGCACGAAGGUCAGGGGAGCAAACGGG
rnacentral:rRNA from 1 species